AAAUUGAAGAGUUUGAUCAUGGCUCAGAUUGAACGCUGGCGGCAGGCCUAACACAUGCAAGUCGAACGGUAACAGGAAGCAGCUUGCUGCUUCGCUGACGAGUGGCGGACGGGUGAGUAAUGUCUGGGAAACUGCCUGAUGGAGGGGGAUAACUACUGGAAACGGUAGCUAAUACCGCAUAAUGUCGCAAGACCAAAGAGGGGGACCUUCGGGCCUCUUGCCAUCGGAUGUGCCCAGAUGGGAUUAGCUAGUAGGUGGGGUAACGGCUCACCUAGGCGACGAUCCCUAGCUGGUC
rnacentral:rRNA from 1 species